rnacentral:rRNA from 1 species
GAUGAACGCUGGCGGCGUGCCUAAUACAUGCAAGUCGAGCGAACAGACGAGGAGCUUGCUCCUCUGACGUUAGCGGCGGACGGGUGAGUAACACGUGGAUAACCUACCUAUAAGACUGGGAUAACUUCGGGAAACCGGAGCUAAUACCGGAUAAUAUAUUGAACCGCAUGGUUCAAUAGUGAAAGACGGUUUUGCUGUCACUUAUAGAUGGAUCCGCGCCGCAUUAGCUAGUUGGUAAGGUAACGGCUUACCAAGGCGACGAUGCGUAGCCGACCUGAGAGGGGGGUCGGGAAAAGAGGAACUGAGACAGGGUAGAGAGUAGUAGGGGAGGCAGAAGUAGGGGAGCUGGAGAAAUGGGGGAAAGUAUGAAAGAGCAAGGCAGAGUGAGGGAUGAAGGUCUUAGGAUCGGAGAACGCGGUGAGUAUGGAAAAACAGAGGUGUAAGUAACUGUGCGCAUCUUGACGGUACCUAAGAAGAAAGCCACGGCUAACUCCGUG